GACGAACGCUGGCGGCAUGCCUAACACAUGCAAGUCGAGCGAGUUGAUCCCUUCGGGGUGAAGCUAGCGGCGGACGGGUGAGUAACACGUGGGCAACCUGCCUCAUAGAGGGGAAUAGCCUUCCGAAAGGAAGAUUAAUACCGCAUAAGAUUGUAGCUUCGCAUGAAGCAGCAAUUAAAGGAGCAAUCCGCUAUGAGAUGGGCCCGCGGCGCAUUAGCUAGUUGGUGAGGUAACGGCUCACCAAGGCGACGAUGCGUAGCCGACCUGAGAGGGUGAUCGGCCACAUUGGGACUGAGACACGGACCAGACUCCUACGGGAGGCAGCAGUGGUGAAUAUUGCACAAUGGGGGAAACCCUGAUGCAGCAAUGCCGCGUGAGUGAUGACGGCCUUCGGGUUGUAAAGCUCUGUCUUCGGGGACGAUAAUGACGGUACCCGAGGAGGAAGCCACGGCUAACUACGUGCCAGCCGCCGCGGUAA
rnacentral:rRNA from 1 species